rnacentral:rRNA from 1 species
UACGAAGGGGACUAGCGUUGUUCGGAAUCACUGGGCGUAAAGCGCACGUAGGCGGAUAUGUCAGUCAGGGGUGAAAUCCCGGGGCUCAACCUCGGAACUGCCUUUGAUACAGCAUAUCUUGAGUCCGAUAGAGGUGGGUGGAAUUCCUAGUGUAGAGGUGAAAUUCGUAGAUAUUAGGAAGAACACCAGUGGCGAAGGCGGCUCACUGGCCCGGUACUGACGCUGAGGUGCGAAAGCGUGGGGAGCAAACAGGG